CACUGUUUGGUACCUCUUGAGGACCCGUAGUGUCCACGGCGGGAUUCAAGUCAAGUAGGGAACCUAAAGUGUCAAGACUUUGUUUUAUUUACGUUAAAAACCUUACAUAGAGAACGACAUUUGACCUAGCGCAAGUAAUUUAAAUGCAUCAAAGGAAAUGGACUUAUCGUUGUUAGCAAAAAGAUUAUGGCGUCAGUUUAGUUAGCCCGCUAACUGUGCUAACGCAGCAGUAGCAUUAGCAGUGUGACAGUGAAACUGUUCUGACUAACUUCUUAUUGUAGGGUUCCGUGGCCAAAGAUGUGCUCUCUGGCCUUGUUCCCCCCUCCGCUUCCAUCUGGACACUCGACGUUGUGUGAGUCCAACAACGAGCUGCUGUCGGGGAACAACCCGGAGGAGCGACUGGAACAGGAGUCAAGUCCUCUGAGUUUGUACUUCCCCAGAGAGUCCCUGAAGUUGCACAGUCGCACUGAGAACAGCAGCAAGGCAGCCUUCCUGGACCACUCGGAGACAUUGUGGAUGAGGAGCGCAGCAGCUUGGCGGGAUGGUGGUAUCACAGGACUACUGAAUGAAAUCACAAACUCCCAUGAAGAAGUGCCUAAAUGGUUGUCGGUGAGUUCUGGCUGCAUCCUGGCAUUAUUGCAGAGGAUCUCUUCUUUUCAUGGCUCCUUGUUUCCUCAUCUCACAUUGAGCAACGAGAACAUGAUUGCAGAGUUUUCCCAAGCAUUAAACUGGUCGGACUGUGUGGUGCGAGCCUUUGCCUGGCAUCCUCAUACUGAUAAAUUUGCUGUUGCCCUGCUGGAUGACUCCAUUAAGAUCUACAAUCCCAAAAGUGCUACAACUCCCACCCUGAAGCACCGUCUCCAGAGGAGCGUUGCAGCGUUGCAGUGGAAGCCGUUGUGUGCAUCUGGCCUCGCAGUGGCUUGCCAGAACUGUUUGCUGGUCUGGCACGUGGACCCCUGCUCACUAUCCACAAGGCCUUCAUCUGGAUGUGCACAAGUUUUGUCUCAUCCCGGGCACUCUCCAGUCACUUCCAUUGCUUGGUCGCCAAGUGGCUCUCUCCUUGUGUCUGCCUCGCCUAUGGACACCGCAAUGAUGGUGUGGGAUGUUGCGGCAGAGAGCUGUGUGCCCCUCCAGCGUGUUGGAGGAGGUGGGGUCAGCUUCCUAUCGUGGUCCACUGAUGGAAGCCGUCUUCUUGCCUCGACACCGUCUGCUCUCUUCAGGGUCUGGGAGACCAGAAUGUGGACGUGUGAACGUUGGCCAUGUGUCAAAGGCCGUUGUCAGUCUGGCUAUUGGAGUCCAGAUGGGAGUCGACUUCUCUUCACUGUACAAGGAGAAACUGUCAUCUACGCUUUGACCUUCACUGACACACCAGGUGUACCCACAUGCACAUCCAAAGGGCCACAAGCAGCAGCUGUGGUGGCUGACCUAUCAGAGACGACCUUUAACACACCGGAGGGAGACAUCAUUGUCGGUGGAGAGAUCCAGUCCUUGACCUGGGACCCAAGAGGGGAGAGGCUUGCUGUGCUUCUCAAAGGUGAUCCACAAGCAGCCCGACCUGCAAUCAUUGCUGUGUUUAAGACCAGAACGAAGCCCAUUUUUGAACUUUUGCCAUGUGGUUUUGUUCAAGGAGAUCCUGGUGCGGAACCAAGACUGAUGCAGUUCCACCCAAAUUUUCAGCAUGGGGCUCUGCUCACUGUGGGUGGCACAGUUUGAGGUCUCUGCAGGAGCGAGCAGGGUUUUUCUGAGAGCCAUCGGGGCUGCGCAGGUUCUCAAUCUGGUUGUUGAGGGACUUGAGCGUGGAGUCAACCUCAACAUCAUGCUGUCUCAGGGAGCUGGAGGCCUCAUCAGCCCUCAUGUACCGCAGAGGAUCGGGAGACUUCUCAGUCUGUCCCAGACCAGCGAAGGCAGACAUGUCAAUGCCAGGGCCUGGAGGGCCAGGGGGACCAGGGGGUCCGGCAUUUCCAGGAGGACCCUAAAAAAGCUGGGCCAGAUUCUCCAGAGCGUCCACGAGGUCCGGGUGGUCCAAUGGGGCCAGGCUGUCCAUUAGAUCCAUCUUUGCCAGCGGGUCCGGUUGGUCCAGGUGGUCCCUAUAGCAACAGUGUGUGUUAAAUUACCAGCAAAAGACUCACCGCUCUCUCCCUUAUCUCCACGUGGUCCUUGGGGUCCCUGGAGUGAGGAAUGAAGUCUUACAAUUCAAAACUUCAAGCAGCACUCAACUAUAAUCUUUCAAUCUGAAGCGGAUUAGAAGUUUUCAUUUUGCGCAGAUGAGACUCACAGCCAUUCCUCGAGCACCAGCGAGUCCAGGUGGUCCUGCAGGUCCUUGUGCACCCUGAAGAGAGUAGAGUUCACAUUGAUGUCAAUGCAUUUCUAACAGUAUACAGAGGUCCGACAGGUCCAGGGGCACCGGGAGCACCAGGAGCACCAGGGGCACCAGCAGGACCAGUGUUACCUCGCUCUCCCUACAGAAGAACACAAACUACUGACUUAAUGGCUCUCAUCAAGUUUUUCCAGCACAGAAAAAUCGGACAGAUUUUCUUUCUUAGGACCACUUGGACUUUUUUCUCUCACCUUGAUUCCAACGGAUCCGUCCCUACCAGGUGGUCCAUCUGAUCCAGGCGUACCCUGAAACACAGGAAGACUUUAUUUAAUAACUCACUUUAAUGCAUUCAUUAUUAAUAUAAGCAUAGUAGUUAAUGUGUUAGUUUGUCUUAAGUCCUCAUAGUCCCACCUCCCUUCCAGUCUCUCCAGCAGGUCCAGUAAGUCCAGGGGGUCCUACAGGUCCAGGAGGUCCACGGUCACCAGAAGAGCCAGGGCCUCCUUGUUUCCCAGGCUCACCCUGAACACGGAAAGGUCCAGGAAGGCCAGGGAAGCCUCUCUCUCCACGCUGACCAGGCAAACCAACAAUACCACGAGAUCCAGCCAGACCCUGAGGACCUGAGGGUCCAUCUGCACCCUAUAGAGACAGAAAGGAUAGGAUCCAGCACAGCUCUCCUCAGAGCAGUCCUCGAAGGCCAGCAUCUCCCUGUCUUCCAGGGGGUCCACCAUCACCACGGGCACCCUUUGGUCCAUCUUUGCCAGCAGGACCAGCAGGUCCAACAGCGCCAGGGUUACCCUGUGAUAGAAACAACAUCAUUGAUGAGUCAGAAACAUUACAGGUGUUCCAGGAAGUCCACGAGGUCCCUGAAGACCCUGAGGACCAGCACCGCCCCUCUCACCGGGGAAACCACGUUCACCCUGUCAGGAAACAGAAAAAAGAACGUGAAAACUCACUCUAGGUCCAACAGCACCAGGUGCUCCACCCUCUCCAGGAACCCCCUGCAGACAGACAGCAAAUGAGUUCAUUCCAGGUGGACCAGCAGGUCCAGGCAAACCAUCAUUUCCACGGGCACCCUGUGGAGUUGGGACAGGACAAUCAGACCAUUGGGAUGUGUACUUUCUAAGGGACACGAAGCUUUAGCAAGCUAACGCAGAAAUCACAACUCACUGCAGCUCCAGCAGCACCGGGACGUCCCCUCUCACCAGGCAGACCACGUGGGCCCUGGAAUGACAGAAAAUAAUUUUGUUAGCGUCAUCAUUGCAAUGCCCUACCUUCAAAAUGCAUGACUGUACAUCUGUGGGGCACUCACCAUGGGUCCGGGGGCGCCGUUCUCUCCAGAAGCACCAGACUCACCCUGAGAAUGAAAGGAGCAUAUAUUUGAAAUAACGUCAUAAGAAAAUACAGUCCUAAUAUUUUGAAAAGUGCUGCUCUCACCUUUGCACCGGCAGCACCGGUCUCUCCCUUGGCGCCAUCCAGACCAGGGUGACCCUACGAGGAAGAAGACAAGAAGGCCAGGAGUUCCAGGGAAUCCACGAGCUCCCUGAAAUUCAGAGAAGAAUAAUGAACAGCUGGUUCCUCUCCAGUUUCCUCUCAUCACUUCAAGUUAAUGACUUAUUCUCCAACCUGAGGUCCAGCAGGUCCACGCUCACCAGCUUUGCCAGGUUUGCCAGCCUCACCCUGCAGUAAAACAAGGAGUUGAAGGAUUAUUAACAGUCCUGCGGGUCCAGGUGGGCCAGGUGGCCCAGAGGGUCCGGGGUUUCCGGGGGUGCCAGGCUCGCCAUCUCUUCCACGAGGUCCAGGAUUUCCCUUGGGAAAAAAGAGCAGGGCAUUGGCACCGAAUCACAAGUCACAAGGAUUUGACAUCAGAAGAAGGCGACAGAAUGAUGAUCUUCAAUGCACGCUGGUCCACGUGUUCCCUGGUCACCUGGGGGGCCCUGCAAAGGCAAAAAUGUCCCAAGUCAGCAGCAUUCCAAGUGUGGCUAACACCUGCUCAAACCGCUUUACACCAAGAAACAGCUUUUAGCAGCCUGCAUGGAGCCCAGAAGAAUAUGAUGUUUACCAUCGGGCCUGCUGGUCCUCUUGGUCCUACAACCUGCAGCUGCUGAGAGAAUCUAAGAGGAUUUGAUGGGGGUCACCGUGUCCCAGGAAUGCAAGAUUUUUCUCAUUGAAUCCAAAGUCUAACAAGGCACUCAUGUAGAUAAUCCAUAAUGAUCACAGGACUCUAUGGGAAUCAUUUUAAUGGAAAUAAACUAAAUGAGAGAUGGAGUGUGGGCCUAAUGGUGCACUUUUCAUGUUUAAAGAGGGCAUAAUCUCGCAUUAGUUCAAAUGAAAGCAACAGUAGGUCCUUAUUGUGUUGUCAUCCGGCGAAAAGCGUUUUAUCGCGUGCAUUUCAAGCCUCACAGCCUCUCGGAGGAUUCACUUACAUCUGCAAUAUCUCCGGGUUCACCCU